UACGAAGGGGGCUAGCGUUGCUCGGAAUCACUGGGCGUAAAGGGUGCGUAGGCGGGUCUUUAAGUCAGGGGUGAAAUCCUGGAGCUCAACUCCAGAACUGCCUUUGAUACUGAGGAUCUUGAGUACGGGAGAGGUGAGUGGAACUGCGAGUGUAGAGGUGAAAUUCGUAGAUAUUUGCAAGAACACCAGUGGCGAAGGCGGCUCACUGGCCCGUAACUGACGCUGAGGCACGAAAGCGUGGGGAGCAAACAGG
rnacentral:rRNA from 1 species